rnacentral:tRNA from 1 species
GGUGCUAUAGUGUAGUGGUUAUCACUCGGGAUUUUGAUGUGCUGGGAAUAGUAAUCUUUCCCGAAACCCAGGUUCGAGCCCUGGUAGCACCU